UACGUAGGUCGCAAGCGUUGUCCGGAUUUACUGGGCGUAAAGAGCGCGCAGGCGGCUGGUCAAGUCCGAUGUGAAAUCUCCCGGCUCAACUGGGAAACUGCAUCGGAAACUGAUCGGCUUGAAGAUGGGAGAGGGUAGUGGAAUUCCUGGUGUAGCGGUGAAAUGCGCAGAUAUCAGGAAGAACACCCGUGGCUAAGGCGGUUCUCUAGUACGGUACUGACGCUGAGACGCGAAAGCGUGGGGGAGCGAACAGG
rnacentral:rRNA from 1 species